GGUUAAGCGACUAAGCGUACACGGUGGAUGCCCUGGCAGUCAGAGGCGAUGAAGGACGUGCUAAUCUGCGAAAAGCGUCGGUAAGGUGAUAUGAACCGUUAUAGCCGGCGAUGUCCGAAUGGGGAAACCCAGUGCAAUUCGUUGCACUAUCGUUUGAUGAAUACAUAGUCAAACGAGGCGAACCGGGGGAACUGAAACAUCUAAGUACCCCGAGGAAAAGAAAUCAACCGAGAUUCCCCCAGUAGCGGCGAGCGAACGGGGAGCAGCCCGGAGUCUGAAUCAGCUUGUGUGUUAGUGGAAGCGUCUGGAAAGUCGCAGGGUACAGGGUGAUACUCCCGUACACUAAAGCACACAGGCUGUGAACUCGAAGAGUAGGGCGGGACACGUGGUAUCCUGUCUGAAUAUGGGGGGACCAUCCUCCAAGGCUAAAUACUCCUGACUGACCGAUAGUGAACCAGUACCGUGAGGGAAAGGCGAAAAGAACCCCGGCGAGGGGAGUGAAAAAGAACCUGAAACCGUGUACGUACAAGCAGUAGGAGCCUCUUUAUGGGGUGACUGCGUACCUUUUGUAUAAUGGGUCAGCGACUUAUAUUCUGUAGCAAGGUUAACCGUAUAGGGGAGCCGCAGGGAAACCGAGUCUUAACUGGGCGUUAAGUUGCAGGGUAUAGACCCGAAACCCGGUGAUCUAGCCAUGGGCAGGUUGAAGGUUGGGUAACACUAACUGGAGGACCGAACCGACUAAUGUUGAAAAAUUAGCGGAUGACUUGUGGCUGGGGGUGAAAGGCCAAUCAAACCGGGAGAUAGCUGGUUCUCCCCGAAAGCUAUUUAGGUAGCGCCUCGUGAAUUCAUCUUCGGGGGUAGAGCACUGUUUCGGCUAGGGGGUCAUCCCGACUUACCAACCCGAUGCAAACUACGAAUACCGAAGAAUGUUAUCACGGGAGACACACGGCGGGUGCUAACGUCCGUCGUGAAGAGGGAAACAACCCAGACCGCCAGCUAAGGUCCCAAAGUCAUGGUUAAGUGGGAAACGAUGUGGGAAGGCCCAGACAGCCAGGAUGUUGGCUUAGAAGCAGCCAUCAUUUAAAGAAAGCGUAAUAGCUCACUGGUCGAGUCGGCCUGCGCGGAAGAUGUAACGGGGCUAAACCAUGCACCGAAGCUGCGGCAGCGACACUAUGUGUUGUUGGGUAGGGGAGCGUUCUGUAAGCCGUUGAAGGUGGCCUGUGAGGGUUGCUGGAGGUAUCAGAAGUGCGAAUGCUGACAUAAGUAACGAUAAUGCGGGUGAAAAACCCGCACGCCGGAAGACCAAGGGUUCCUGUCCAACGUUAAUCGGGGCAGGGUGAGUCGACCCCUAAGGCGAGGCCGAAAGGCGUAGUCGAUGGGAAACAGGUUAAUAUUCCUGUACUCGGUGUUACUGCGAAGGGGGGACGGAGAAGGCUAUGUUGGCCGGGCGACGGUUGUCCCGGUUUAAGCAUGUAGGCGGAUGUUCCAGGUAAAUCCGGAACGUUAUUAACGCUGAGGUGUGAUGACGAGGCACUACGGUGCUGAAGUGACAAAUGCCCUGCUUCCAGGAAAAGCCUCUAAGCAUCAGGUAACAUCAAAUCGUACCCCAAACCGACACAGGUGGUCAGGUAGAGAAUACCAAGGCGCUUGAGAGAACUCGGGUGAAGGAACUAGGCAAAAUGGUGCCGUAACUUCGGGAGAAGGCACGCUGAUAUGUAGGUGAAGUGGUUUACCCAUGGAGCUGAAAUCAGUCGAAGAUACCAGCUGGCUGCAACUGUUUAUUAAAAACACAGCACUGUGCAAACACGAAAGUGGACGUAUACGGUGUGACGCCUGCCCGGUGCCGGAAGGUUAAUUGAUGGGGUUAUCCGUAAGGAGAAGCUCUUGAUCGAAGCCCCGGUAAACGGCGGCCGUAACUAUAACGGUCCUAAGGUAGCGAAAUUCCUUGUCGGGUAAGUUCCGACCUGCACGAAUGGCGUAAUGAUGGCCAGGCUGUCUCCACCCGAGACUCAGUGAAAUUGAACUCGCUGUGAAGAUGCAGUGUACCCGCGGCAAGACGGAAAGACCCCGUGAACCUUUACUAUAGCUUGACACUGAACACUGGUCCUUGAUGUGUAGGAUAGGUGGGAGGCUUUGAAGUGUGGACGCCAGUCUGCAUGGAGCCAUCCUUGAAAUACCACCCUUUAAUGGCUGGUGUUCUAACGUGGGCCCGUUAUCCGGGUUGCGGACAGUGUCUGGUGGGUAGUUUGACUGGGGCGGUCUCCUCCUAAAGAGUAACGGAGGAGCACGAAGGUCAGCUAAUCCUGGUCGGACAUCAGGAGGUUAGUGCAAUGGCAUAAGCUGGCUUGACUGCGAGCGUGACGGCGCGAGCAGGUGCGAAAGCAGGUCAUAGUGAUCCGGUGGUUCUGAAUGGAAGGGCCAUCGCUCAACGGAUAAAAGGUACUCCGGGGAUAACAGGCUGAUACCGCCCAAGAGUUCAUAUCGACGGCGGUGUUUGGCACCUCGAUGUCGGCUCAUCACAUCCUGGGGCUGAAGUAGGUCCCAAGGGUAUGGCUGUUCGCCAUUUAAAGUGGUACGCGAGCUGGGUUUAGAACGUCGUGAGACAGUUCGGUCCCUAUCUGCCGUGGGCGCUGGAGAAUUGAGGGGGGCUGCUCCUAGUACGAGAGGACCGGAGUGGACGCAUCACUGGUGUUCGGGUUGUCAUGCCAAUGGCAUUGCCCGGUAGCUAAAUGCGGAAGAGAUAAGUGCUGAAAGCAUCUAAGCACGAAACUUGCCCCGAGAUGAGUUCUCCCUGACUCCUUGAGAGUCCUGAAGGAACGUUGAAGACGACGACGUUGAUAGGCCGGGUGUGUAAGCGCAGCGAUGCGUUGAGCUAACCGGUACUAAUGAACCGUGAGGCUUAACCUU
rnacentral:rRNA from 1 species